GAAAACUUGGUCAAAAAGGAUAAUUACUUUUUCAUUUAGUUGCAUGCUCUUCAAAAGCAACAGCAAGCAUUCAUUAAUUUCCAUCUGAUAGAGCUGAACUUUUUUCUUCUUUUUUUGGUGGCUAAACAAUUGAAACAGGAAAUGACCCGAGAUACAGUUUCCAUGACACCCUGUCACUUGGAUCCAGUUUUCCAGAACAUGAAAGACCAAAGCCGGCUUUUGAUAAUCUUGAAAACUGAUGGAGCUUCCUGAGAGUCGCAGAAGAAGCAAGUGGAAACCAUGACAUUCAAGAGCAAAUAAUUUAACUUUUGCUCUUUCCAUCUUAAUACUUCCCACCACUCCCCUACUCUGAAUGGAGAAAGGCUGCUGUAGGCCAACUGGUGUCACUGAGACAAAAUAAAAUAUCCUGCAGAUUGCU